UACGGGAGGCAGCAGUGGGGAAUAUUGCACAAUGGGCGAAAGCCUGAUGCAGCUAUGCCGCGUGUAUGAAGAAGGCCUUAGGGUUGUAAAGUACUUUCAUCGGGGAGGAAAAAACAAAACUAAUAAUUUUAUUUCUUGACGUUACCCGAAAAAGAAGCACCGGCUAACUCCGUGCCAGCAGCCGCGGUAAUACGGAGGGUGCUAGCGUUAAUCAGAAUUACUGGGCGUAAAGAGCACGUAGGUGGUUUUUUUAAAGUCAGAUGUGAAAUCCCUGGGCUUAAACCUAGGAACUGCAUUUUGAAACUGAAAUACUAGAGUAUCGUAGAGGGAGGUAGAAUUCUAGGUGUAGCGGUUGAAAUGCGUAGAUAUCUGGAGGAAUACCUGUGGCGAAAGCGGCCUCCUAAACGAAUACUGACACUGAGGUGCGAAAAGCGUGGGGAGCAAAACAGGGAUUAGAUACCCGU
rnacentral:rRNA from 1 species